rnacentral:misc_RNA from 1 species
CAACAAUCAUGAGCAGAAGAUGGAUUCAGCAAUUCCAGAAUCUUUGAAGGAAGCAGAUACAGUCUCUAACAAUCCUGAACGUAAGAUGCCAGUUGUUAAGAUUAGGGUAAAAAAAUCUGCUGCUUCCAGUAGAGCAGAGGAGGCUGAUAAUCAAACUGUUGAGAGAUCUCAAGGCAGGCAUCAUGAAACUGAUCGUGGGGCCACCAGCUCCGUUUCUGUGGAUGCACCCCAAAGGAUUUCAACUGAGGCUGUGAGUGCAAGCAAUCAAAAUAUUGAGGAAGUCAAC